rnacentral:rRNA from 1 species
UGGGGAAUAUUGCACAAUGGGCGCAAGCCUGAUGCAGCCAUGCCGCGUGUAUGAAGAAGGCCUUCGGGUUGUAAAGUACUUUCAGCGGGGAGGAAGGGAGUAAAGUUAAUACCUUUGCUCAUUGACGUUACCCGCAGAAGAAGCACCGGCUAACUCCGUGCCAGCAGCCGCGGUAAUACGGAGGGUGCAAGCGUUAAUCGGAAUUACUGGGCGUAAAGCGCACGCAGGCGGUUUGUUAAGUCAGAUGUGAAAUCCCCGGGCUUAACCCGGGAAUUGCAUCUGAUACUGGUCAGCUAGAGUCUUGUAGAGGGGGGUAGAAUUCCAUGUGUAGCGGUGAAAUGCGUAGAGAUGUGGAGGAAGACCGGUGGCGAAGGCGGCCCCCUGGACAAAGACUGACGCUCAGGUGCGAAAGCGUGGGGAGCAAACAGG